UACGUAGGUGACAAGCGUUAUCCGGAAUUACUGGGCGUAAAGGGCGCGUAGGCGGCACCGCAAGUCGACUGUGAAAAUCUCCGGGCUUAACUCGGAAAGGUCAGCCGAUACUGCGGGGCUAGAGUGCAGAAGGGGCAACUGGAAUUCUCGGUGUAGCGGUGAAAUGCGUAGAUAUCGAGAGGAACACCUGCGGCGAAGGCGGGUUGCUGGGCUGACACUGACGCUGAUGCGCGAAAGCGUGGGGGAGCAAACAGG
rnacentral:rRNA from 1 species